CAUGUUUGAUGUCUUUAUCUUGUCAGCUCUUUUCAUGCAUUUGCUACUUGUAUCAAAAGAAUGGUAUAUUUAUGUGCAUUAAUUCUUCUAAUCUGUAUCUAGGCUGAGCAAAGGGCUCGAGAAGAAAGUGAGAGGCUGAGGCAACAGGAGCGUGAACAAAUUGCAGAGAAAAGGAGAAGGGAUUUGACUCUUAGGGCUCGUGUUGCCGCAAAGGCAGAGGAAAAGAGAUUGGAGUUGCUGUUCCUUCGGUGGAGUGGGCACCAAAGAAAACUUGGCAACUUUUUAAGGUUAUCUCUAAUUUUGGUCCCACGUAUCCAUAUUCACAAUUUUAUUGAGACCAAGAUAAGUUUCUUUUUCAUGUGCAUAGAGUUGAGGCAGAUGGAUGACUGGAAGUUUCCUGCUCUGCAGGACUGUAGGUUGGCCUAUGUGGCAUUUUGUAUGUUCAUGAUUCACCUUUUCAUUUUUUUGUGGGCUUGUUUCUUGCAGGACUAAGGUAGAGCCUCCUGUAUACUACUCAUUUGCCAAG